GACGGAGGAUGCAAGCGUUAUCCGGAAUUAUUGGGCGUAAAGCGUUCGCAGGUGGCUGUUCAAGUCUGCUGUUAAAGACCAGGGCUUAACCUUAUAAAGGCAGUGGAAACUAAACGGCUGGAGUGCAGUAUGGGUAGAGGGAAUUCCCGGUGUAGCGGUGAAAUGCGUAGAGAUUAGGAAGAACACCGGUGGCGAAAGCGCUCUGCUAGGCUGCAACUGACACUGAGGGACGAAAGCUAGGGGAGCGAAAGGG
rnacentral:rRNA from 1 species